CCUACGGGGGGCAGCAGUGAGGAAUAUUGGACAAUGGAUGGAAAUCUGAUACAGCCAUGCCGCGUGCGGGAUGACGGCCCUAUGGGUUGUAAACCGCUUUUGCAGGGGAGCAAUAAGGUCCACGUGUGGACCGACGAGAGUACUCUGUGAAUAAGCAUCGGCUAACUCCGUGCCAGCAGCCGCGGUAAUACGGAGGAUGCAAGCGUUAUCCGGAUUUAUUGGGUUUAAAGGGUGCGUAGGCGGGAAGUCAAGUCUGUGAUGAAAAGUCCGGGCCUAACCUGGAUCGUGCCAUGGAAACUGCCUUUCUUGAAUAGUGGUGCCGUUGGCGGAAUGUGAAGUGUAGCGGUGAAAUGCUUAGAUAUUACACAGAACACCGAUUGCGAAAGCAGCUGACGAACCACCGAUUGACGCUGAUGCACGAAAGUGCGGGUAUCGAACAGGAUUAGAUACCCUUGUAGUG
rnacentral:rRNA from 1 species